rnacentral:rRNA from 1 species
AAAUGAAUUGACGGGGGCCCGCACAAGCGGAGGAACAUGUGGUUUAAUUCGAUGAUACGCGAGGAACCUUACCCGGGCUCGAACGGCUAUGGAAUAUGAUAGAGAUAUUGUAGUCAGCAAUGACUGUAGUCGAGGUGCUGCAUGGUUGUCGUCAGCUCGUGCCGUGAGGUGUCGGCUUAAGUGCCAUAACGAGCGCAACCCUUGUUGUUAGUUGCCAUCGAGUAAAGUCGGGGACUCUAACGAGACUGCCAGCGUAAGCUGUGAGGAAGGGGGGGAUGACGUCAAAUCAGCACGGCCCUUACGUCCGGGGCGACACACGUGUUACAAUGGGGGGUACAGAGGGCCGCUACCUGGUGACAGGAUGCCAAUCUCGAAAACCUCUCUCAGUUCGGAUCGGAGUCUGCAACUCGACUCCGUGAAGUUGGAUUCGCUAGUAAUCGCGCAUCAGCCAUGGCGCGGUGAAUACGUUCCCGGGCCUUGUACACACCGCCCGU